rnacentral:rRNA from 1 species
CCUACGGGCGGCAGCAGUGAGGAAUAUUGGUCAAUGGACGAGAGUCUGAACCAGCCAAGUAGCGUGAAGGAUGACUGCCCUAUGGGUUGUAAACUUCUUUUAUAAAGGAAUAAAACGAGGCUCGUGUGCCUUUUUGCAUUUACUUUAUGAUUAAGGAUAGGCUCACAUCGUGCCAGCAGCCGCGGUACUAUGGAGGAUCCGAGCGUUUUCCGGUUGUAUUGGGUUUAAAGGGAGCGUAGAUGGGUUGUUAAGUCAGUUGUGAAAGUUUGCGGCUCAACCGUAAAAUUGCAAUUGAUACUGGCAGUCUUGAGUACAGUUGAGGUAGGCGGAAUUCGUGGUGUAGCGGUGAAAUGCUUAGAUAUCACGAAGAACCCCGAUUGCGAAGGCAGCUUACUAAACUGUGACUGACAUUGAUGCUCGAAAGUGUGGGUAUCAAACAGGAUUAGAUACCCUGGUAGUC